GCGUGGUACAGACAAUGAGUGCAUUUGUCUGUAGGGCGGGAAGCGGUUUCCCAGAGCGCACGAGAUUUGCAUAGGUGAAAGGGAACUCAUCUUUUACAGAAGAUGAAUUAUUCUAAAGGAAUCUUGCCCUAGGUUGUUUAGAGUACGGGUGCAUACAGAUUUCCUGGAUGAAACAGGAGGUGCUGCUAGCAAAAUGCCUUCUUUCUCACCUCGUGCAAUGUAAAAUAACCGAUACCACACUAAAAGCAAAUAUUUAAAAGUCGGAGGUGUAUCCGUGAGCCCCAGACACCGCCUUAGAAUCGUUUUCAAGCAACCACUUCUCUCAAGUUCACGCAAAGGAAAGGGAGGAAGAUGAGCAGAGUUUUAUUCGAGGAUCGUUGGAAGCAAGGACUUCAUUUCACAAAGCUUCCACAUUCAGAAAGAUUGCAGGAGGCAUACUUUGAUCAAGGAACAGGAAAAAAGCAGAGAACAAAUGAAGCAUGUUCUUUUAGUGAGAAGGAGGAAUGCAGAUGAGCCUGAGGAACGGAUGGACCUGAACCAGAAGACAGCACGUCUAAAGCACCUAAUCUCUGUCUACUCGAGUUUUCUGUCUGUUCCUUUAUCCAACUCUGUUGUACACAGCAGGAUUGGACUCUGGCUCCUGGCUUUAUAGUUCUAAUCACCCGGAGGACCUGACUGGAGACCUCUCCCUCCCAGUUCCAACUGUCUUAAGGGAAAAGUAAGGAAUCCGAGUGGCCCAGCUCAGAUUAGGUGACCAUCACCAAGAAACUUAACAAUACUUCAUAUUCUGGCGAUGGCAGAUAUGGGAAAGAGUGGGCAGGAAGAUUCGGCCAAUGGAAGAGAG
rnacentral:lncRNA from 1 species